CGUGUAGGCGGUUUAGCAAGUCAGAUGUGAAAGCCCUGGGCUCAACCCGGGAAGUGCAUUUGAAACCGCUUCACUAGAGUAUGGGAGAGGAGAUUGGAAUUCCUGGUGUAGAGGUGAAAUUCGUAGAUAUCAGGAGGAACACCCGUGGCGAAGGCGAUUCUCUGGACCAAUACUGACGCUGAGACGCGAAAGCGUGGGGAGCAAACAGGAUUAGAUACCCUGGUAGUCC
rnacentral:rRNA from 1 species